rnacentral:lncRNA from 1 species
CCUGAGGUUGUGUAGGUCACUGUGAUAUAUUCAUAUACCCAAUUUGAGCUAUGUAUGAUAAGUUAUUAGAUAGUUUUGUCUAUAUGCUCUAAAAUAACGUUUUUAUAGUUAAUUCGCAUAUAGGUGAGACUUAUCCUGAGGACAAGCGAGUUCAAGGGCGACUCGGGGGCUACGACCCUUCGACAUACCAGUGAGUGGGCUUUUGGUUUUCAGUAUAUAUUUAUAUACUUGAUAUUUUCCCAGAAAUAUGUGUUUUAAUGAAAGUAUGCCUUAAAUGCCAUGCGUACGAAUUUAUAUGUCGUAUAUGAAUUGGUAUAUGAUGUUAUAUGUAUAAAUGUGGUGAUGUGGAUGCUCAGGUAAGCUCAGGUGAGUUAUGUUUGGUUAUGUGAAUUGUCAAUGAUGCGAUAUGUGAUUGAAUAAUGUUGAGCUCAUAAAACUGCACCUAGGGUGAUUGUGAUUUAGCCAGAGUUAUGGCACAUGCCUAUUUAUUAUGUCACCUCCUGUACCAUAUGCUCAUAUUGGAUCCAAUUUAGGAGCACAGUCUUAUUGUACAGACCUUUACUAUGGUUCCAACUCGUAGGUGACUAGUGAUUUAUCGCCCAGCUAUUAUGUGGGAGUAGUAUUGAGCAUAAUUAUAUUACACCUAGUAUUGUUGUACAUACCUUUCAUUUGGUUCCGACUCUUGUGCAGUAUAGUGUCGUAGAGUUCAUUGUAAUGACUCCGGCUUGAUUGACUUUUGAGCUAUGAAUUCAGCCGUACAGACUACCACAGGGAAUCCGGCUAGCAUGUUAUAUUUCUAUGAAGUUAUUCUCACCUGAAUUGCUUACUCUAUUAUAUCUUGGCACGGCAUACAUAUGUAUAUGAUUAUGUGAAGCAUGAUUUGAAUUGAUAUAUUUACAUAAUAUUUAUGUAUAUGCUUAUAUUUUGAUUCUGGGAAAAAUUAUAUAUGUUUUACAGCGAGGAGUUAAAAAUGUUGAUAAAUGAAAUGGUUUUGUAAAACAUUUGUUUUUGCCCACUUACGUUUUCUGUUUUACGCCACUCCAAGUUUUAGGUAAGUUUGCAGUUGCUGGGUAUCUAAAUAAUUGUAGGACAUCUUAUGGUAUUGUAGAAUUAGUACUUGUCCUACUGGACUGCACCUAGACUUUCUAUGCUCUGAUUAGGAGUAUUUACUUUCGUAUCUUACUCCUAACACUUUAUGUUUAGUAGUGCACUCUAGUAGUUCGGUUUUUAAUUACUCAUAUAUUUCUUAUCUUUAUUGCUUCCGCACUGUGCACAUGGCUACGUCACCCUCACGUGACGGCCAUCAAGCCUUGAUCUCGGUCGGGGUGUGUCAGUUUGGUAUCAGAGCCUAAGUUUAGCAAUCCUAUAUAGUUCUUGAAUAUUCUAAUCUUUGUGAUGUCUUAUGUCAGAACUAUACCGCCUCGUAGAAAGCCCCGUUACUCAGCUGAGCCUAGUUUCCUCGAUAUUGCUCAAUUAGGGGAAGCUAUAGUUACUGCCAUUCAGUCUGCAUUAUGUCCUCCUCAAAUGACACAUCUUGAGACUGUGUAUAAUCUGAAAUUGAAUCACUUUAUGGGUAAUGAAGGACAUGAGGAGGCGGAGAAAUGGCUUAAUCAUAUCGAGAAAACCUUUCUUGUGAUGCAGAGUAAGGGGAAUCUUCCUCCUUAUAGGUGGGUCGAGACGACUACCUGAUUUUUGGGAGAGCAGCCUGCAUCUUGGUGGAGACAUGAGUCUUACCAGUUAACCUCAGCGAAGAUUGCGGACUGGGGAGUAUUUAAAGAGCUGUUUCGAAAAAGGUUCAUUCCUCCUGAGUAUAUUGAUCGUAAGAAACAAGAGUUUACCCAUUUGAAGCAAGGAAAGAUGUUAGCUAAUGAGUAUUACAGGAUGUUUACUAAUUUGUUGAGAUAUGAUCCAGAGGUUGCAGCUAAUCCGGUCGAGAUGCUUCACUGUUUCAGAUUGGGUACUAAGAAGAAAUGGCGUUCCAUAGCGACAUCGACUCCCUGUGCCACUUACCAAGAGUUUUAUGAGGUUUUACUUUGGAUUGAGGACUCAGAGAACAUGCUCAGUGAAAGUGAGGAUGAGGAAGGAAAGAAUGGGAACCAGAGGCGAGAUGAUAAGGGAAAAGGGCAAGCGUUUCAAGGACUUUGUAAGACCUAGAAUUUUAAGAGAA